AGGGAAAUAUAUAGGCAAUGUCUAAUUCCCUAAGAAACCUAUAUGCCAAUCUUUCUCAAGCCAUCUCACAAGAUAAGAAUUUAAAGUGUAAAUAUUGUGAAUCUCUGUGUGUAUUUUGUGUGUGUAAUUCAAUUUAUCUCAGGUUUUUGAGUUUUUCCUGAAGAAUCCUGGGAGUAAGACUUUGUGGGCGUGCAUAAGCCAAGUGUCUACAACACCAGCCUCCUGGCCGGUGCCUGGAUCUUUCCCCCACAUCACCUCCAACAUCCACUUGCACUUUGCUGUGUAUAGUGAUCCCAUGUCAGUAAAGGCUCAGACAGAGCAUCAGAAGAACUCGUCAUUUUCCCUCAGUUUGGAGGGCUUUGUGUCAAAGUCACAAAUGUUGCUAAUCAAUGGCAUACCUAGAUGGGCAUUGUAAUAGACAGUCCUUGAUGAUCUUUUCUUUGAAAGAUUUUCCUGUAAGAGUUAACCUGCUUAGAAUUCAAUUUCAUCUUGUUGGAACUUUCAAGAAAAUGUUUUGUAUUUCAAAUGUUUCUACUGCCAAAAGUAGUACGGUGAACAAAAAUGCUCACCAUGUAAGUGAACCAGUUUCUCAUGAUUGCUCAACUAUUUUUAAAUGUGAAUUUAUGAAGAAAGAUCUGUUAGCAUAAAAGAAGCAGUCCCUAGUCUGGCUGUGUGUAUUCUGAAAGAGUUGCCAGCGCUAUAGUCCUCUUUGAACUCUGUUUGUGGAAUGAGUGAUGUUUGUCAAGGACUCCACUCAGCUGUGUUCCUCCCUGCUGUUCUGUUGAAUCCCUGAAAUGGUGGAAAGGGUGGGAAAGGCAAAGGAAAGGAAAGAGUGGCACAGGAUCUAAGCAAGGUCAGAAGCAGCCCUGGAACAUGGAAGCAUGAUUGGCCUGCUGGCCUUCAUCUUCAAGCUGCACAACAGACGUGUGCUAAAGUGAUGACUUUGCAGUGAAAUAAAACAGAGGAAUAACAUCUAGAGUACAACGAUAACAAUUGACAUGAAAAUUCAACAUCAAAUUAUGAGCUCUGGUUUUUAAAAUCUUUCAAAUUUAUAAGACCUUUAGGAAAAAAAUGUAUCUGAGGGCUCAAACUAGAAAUUAGGUUAAAAUACCAUUUUAUCGUGUAAGCUAUUGGGCAUUAUACAACGAAUAAUCUAGGAUUUAUUUGGUAUUAAUAAUUUAGGUAUCAUUAGCUGAAUACUAUCCUCUAUUAUGUAACAUAAUAUACUGUUGGGUUAGCAUCAAUUUCUCAAACUCUCAGGCUGCUCUAAUGCAUGUCUGACCCACUUUCUAUUUCUCUCGGAGGAGAAAACACACAUAGACAAAAAUGUUGCGUAAAGGAUGUUAUGUUUCCAAUGGAUGUUACUCUUGCAAUUUUAAGCCAGGCCAUAUUUAAAUUCAUUUGUGAGAGAUAUCAGCAUACCUUCCUGUACAGUAGAAAAUGAGUGAUCCUAUAGUACAGUGUGUGAAAAUGUUCUAGUUGUUUAGGAGGCUAUUUAUAGAUACUAACAUGUGUGUUGAUAUGGUGUCCUGUGGUUUUUCUUGCAAAGCUGUAUAGUAAAAUUGUCCACAGAACUCCUAAAAAGUUCAUGUUAGAGCUGUAAUUAAGCAAAAUCAAUCUGCUCCCUGGUAGACUCUUGACCUUACAACCUGACAGUAAUAACCCAAGUCAAAGCUUUUUUAUGUGUGCUUGGUCUAAGAGACAUUAUUUAAAACGGUUGAAAUGGAUUCUGCCUAUGGUUUGCAUAUGUGCUUAUUAGGGUGUGUGUGUGUGUGUGUGUGUGUGUGUGUGUGUGUGUGUGUGUGUGGUUGUGUGUUAGAGGAGGGGGCAAGGAGGCCUGCCAACUUCUAUAUACUUGAUGUUUCAGUUUAUUCUGGAAUUUACCCACAACACUAAAACUUUAUCUAUCUCAUGUGGGGCAAGCAGCCAGGGCUUAGAAUCACAUGCCAGUGGCAGGGACAGCAGUUGCAGCUGAAAGGAGGCUCUAGUGGCUUCAUCUUGCAGAUGAGCUCAUUGGGGUAUGUAGAGAGCAGUAGUGUGCAGGUUGUAAUUCUAUAGCAAGAAGACAAGACCCGUGUCCUGCUGUGCCGUGUUAUUCCUCCCGAGGCACACCACUUUCCCUCUCAGGCUAUGAUUGUUUACAGAGUCUGGGAAGGCCCUGUGUCAGCUAUUGCUUUGAGGGUUGCUUCAGAUAUUAAUUUCUUUUUAGAUAGCUUCUUUUUGGGAAAGAAAAGGGGGGGGGUUGAUUUAGGAAUGAAUGAAGGUAUUAAAAGAAAACUUUCAAACCAUGUGAUUCGAAUAUUUAGAAGUGUAAAACAUAAACCAGGAUCCUGCCCCCCACAUGUCCAGGACGAUGAGUGUUGUGUAAAUAGUAACCUAUAAGAAGCAUGAAUUUCUUCUUUAUUAAUGAUCUUGAUAUAAGCAAGAGAAUGCUUACCGUGUUAAGUAGAGCCAAGUAUGGCACUUCAUAUGUCGUCUUUAGAAAAAUUUUGUAUAAUGACCUGGGACAUAAAUUGUAAUGAUAAAGGCAAAUUAGUUCUGAAUUUCAGUCACACCUUAUUAUCAGGAAGGUCUGAGGCUUUUUUUUUUUUUGAAACAGAAUUAAAUUUCACCCUCUGCAUUACUCACAGAGUGGAUCCAUUGGAGUUUCAGCUGUAUGCUAGUUCAGCUCUUGGAAUUUUCUAAGUCAGUCCUGUUUGAUAGAACUUUUGGGAUUGAUGGAAAUUGUUCUGUAUUUGUUCAGUGUUGUUUAGUAGAGUGGCCACUAGCCACAUGGCUGUUAAGCAAUUAGGUGGGGAUGGCUGAAGAAAUGACUUUUAAAUGUUAUUUAAUUUUAAGAAAUUUAAAAUUAAAUAUUCCCAUAUGGCUUGUGAUCACAUUGGCCAUAAUGACAUCAGGAAGUUGACUAGUAACAGUUUGCCAAAAGAAAUUCCUUUCUAACUUAAAGACGCUUAUGGGCUCCAAAGGGGAGGGGUAGUAAUAAAAUCUCAUCCAUUGCCCUUUGGGGUUAUUGCUUAGAGACUUUAAACCAAGGAAUGAGCAGUGAAGCUUAAAGAGAACUUUAUUAAGCCCCUUUUCUGGGACCAUUAGCUGCAUGUAAAUCUAUUGUCCAAAGCUCAUAGCUAGACAGUAGCUGUAAAAUUUUUGACUUGCAAGCCAUGCAUGACCUGUGCUGUGAAAGUGUGUGUAGGGUCUUGUGGCC
rnacentral:lncRNA from 1 species